rnacentral:lncRNA from 1 species
CUGGAAAUGAUCUUGAUGCUAUCUGUUCCUCGUUACAGCAGACCUGCUCAACUUCAGCAGCUAGAAGGAGGAUUGUCUUUCACCAGCUGCAGGAGCCUGUUCCCACUACAAGCCUGGUGGAGUCUUCGGAGCAGAUGUGACUGUCCUACUUGUAUAGAGAAGAGAAACUGAGGCUCAGAAGAGAUGCCUGGCUGAGUUUAAUAGGACUGCAACAACAAUUUUGCCUUUCUACUUUCUGACCGUUUGCAAAGAAAUUUCCUAAACAUCACCACUGAGGCUCCUUCCAGCAAUGACUCUGGUCCAUCAUUGGGAUUGCUGAGCAGCUGUUUCAUAACAUGAACAAGGAUGUUUUAACCAUGUUUCUUGACCUGGCCAUUUGGAUCCCAAGGAUGUUUUGGUCCAAGAAUAAAUUCCAGAGCUUAGCUCACCGAAGAAGACAGGAAAACUUGUCAGAUGGGGAAGGAUGUGUCAAGAGCAUGCACACAGAUUUACUCUUCAGCUAGAAGCUCCAAUUCCUAGAUGAUCUGAAUCCAACUCAGAGUGCUUGCACCUGUUUCCUGCCACACAGCUAGAGCUGUCCAGUGAGAGAGACAUGAUGGCCCAGCUUGAAAAAGAAAUUGAGGAUAGCAAGUGUAACAUACCAAGCAUUCCACGAGCAGAAGUGCCUUUCAUGUCCCACCAUGAUUCUGAGGACCCCCCCAGCCAUAUGGAACUUGUCCCUCUAGGUUCUCUGAUUGGCUGAAGCUACUCUAAGCCAAGAGAUCAAAGAAGCUGAUAAUGUAGAAUGUAAGUUUGUCUCCUGGGCCACAAUGGAAAGCAGAGACUGUAGCUGGAGGAGUGAAUAGAGGAUAUGCAGCUCUGGUAAUUCUCAGUACAAUUCCCAGUGGUCCACUCUGCAGAAUGAACCAAGUUCCAUUUUGCCCAACUUCUGGCAGUCCACAUUUGGACUGUGAGCUCACCUACAGAUAAAUCGUACGUGGAUUGAUGCAGUAACUGGAUUUGUAGCUGCUAAAUCUUAUUUAAGUGAGGACCUGUCCAGUACAUGUGAAGACCACCCAUCCACUGAAAGUGAUAAGUGAAGCUGAAUCAAUACUAGACUGAAUCAAUACUGAGCUGAAUCAAUACUUUCCCAAUUUUGAGGAAAUCUUGGAAAAUCUCUGAGAAAUGUGGUAGUAAUUAUUUUGAAGAAUUGGAAAACUUUAUAGCUGAUUAUGCUAUGUGUGGAAGAUACAACAGGAUUAUAAGAGAGAGAAGACAAUAUCCUUGCUGUGUCCAGAAGGCUUUAGCCGGGGUGUCCUACUGAGAGAUGACAAACUUAAGGUUUUUCUCUUCCCAGACAUUACUGGACAACUAGCUAUGUAAUUAGGUCUUAUGCCGAAAAGACUGAAAGGAAAACAUCUCAGAUCUAGGAAUGUGAUCAAGAAAGAAGGCUGGUUAAAGAAUAACAUGGGGAAAAUGAAUGCAGUGAAAUGGUUCACGCACAAGUUCUAGGAAUUCAGAGUGCAACAGCAGAAAUGCGAUUUUUGUUAGAUAUUUCAGAAAGUGAUGUGAGUCCCUGAGGUCAUACUGCAGCGUUCAGGUUCUGUUUGGCCUCCUGCACGAAGCUUUCCUUGAUUGGAAAAGCUGCAUACUCUGAAGCACAUCGCAUGUGUCCUGUCUGUAGUUCAUUUCAUUUCCCCAGAUUUGUUAUCAUCCACCAUCACUCAUACAAGCCUACCUUCUUCAUGCCAACCUUUGUAAUCUUUCUACCUUGCUAACCUGGUCAUGUCAAGGACCAGCUAAUAAAUAGCAAAGUUGUACCUUGAGCCAAGGUAUCUUGACUCUUAGUCCAGUGCUCUUUAUAUACCUCUGAAGUCUUAUUUGAGCUUCAAAAUUAUGAGUCUGUGCUCUCAAGAUUUUUUUGAAAAUGUACUUAAUGUUGCCCCUAAGCUUUUAUGAGAAAUAAUAAAGUUCUUUCCAGAUUGAAUAUCUAAUAACUCCAUUUCAUUUUAUGCUUUCUCAUGUAUGGAUGUCUAUAACUGGAAUGCUAUUUGGGCUACUGAGAUAUUUUCUUAAUUCUCUGUUUUGUGUUAGUUCUUUUUGUUUGUUUAUUUGACAACCAUAUUUUUGCACCUGAGAUAAAUCUGGCAUUCUAUUCAACUUCAAUUUCAAAGAGAAUCUGAGAAUGUACUGGUAGAACGAUAUUUGAAUACUAAUAUCUUGGAAAUACAGAAAUAAGUAUCAUACAUUUUGUUACAUUCUGUUUGUGUACAAAUAAUAUAAAAAUCAAUGAAUGAGAAUUUCAUAUUUGAAUUGUAUAUGGAUUGAUGCAAUAACUUGAUUUAGACAAUACUUUUUAUGAAGAAAGGUAAAAACAAUAAAAAUAUAGAAUUGCUUAUAGUUUUGUAACAUAUAUGGUCUAGAUACUGUUUAUAUAACAACAAUCCCAAACUCUCCAUGCAAUUCAGG